AGAAAACGAAGGCAAACCCACAUAAGUGGGUGACACAAGCAUGGCGUGUCCACCAUUAUCUAGGAAGCAGCAGCUGUGCUCAGCAUCAGCAAUGUGUUCCACAUUUUCAGGUGAAAUGUGUGUAUGUUUUGGUUCUAGGAUAGUCAUUUUUGAAGCAGCCUGUCAAAAAGACAGUCUGAAAAUAUGAUGUUAAAGUCUAUUCUGCAUUGUUAGAAUGGUACAGAAAAGAUGGCAUGGACAGUUUUGUGUUGGUGUGAAGAAAGUGGCAUGGGAAACACUUUAGGAAGCUGUUUGCCAUGCCUGUCAAAAGGGCCUGCAUAAUGAAGGAUAACCACUAGUCUAGGUUCUGAGAAAGCAAAAAAGCAUACAGAUAGAUGAUGAAGUUGACACUGAUCGCGUGCAUCAGAGUUUCAAUAUUAAUAUUGUCUUUAGAUUGUGGCCUGACAGUGUGGGUCCACAGAUAACCAGAAUGAACUUAAGUCAACUUUCAAUCAAGUGAGUAGAUAAAUAAUGAAGUCUAGUGGUUGACAGUCGGUGUCUUAGAAAUGACAUGUCUAAAAUGACUUGUGGAAGUAAUAAAGAGUUGGGACAUAUUUUUAGGAAGCAGUCUUCAUAAAAAUAAGAUUUUCCAAACUGCUUGAAGGAUAAAAUUUAAGAGGUGAAGAAAAGGCAUUUAGGAUCUAAUUUAGGUCUGCAAAAAUCUUUUAAGUAUAAGAAAUAUUAGAAAUUAUAGCAUUAAGUUAUUUUGGGGGUAAAUAAGGAGAAGUAAUAACAUAUAUGACAGCUUAGGUAUCAAUACGUAUCUUCUUAGUCUUUAAGCAUCUAUCCAUCACCCAUCCAUCAUCCAUUCCAUCCAUCCAAAUUGUCACCACAUGUAAAGAUAUAAGCGAAUGUGCUGGACACUUAACAAAAAGAUAACUGAGACAUGACCACAGUCUCUAAGAGCUGAUAAUCUAAUAGUUAAUGUAGUGUGGUAUGGUGUGGUGUGCCGGUGAUGGUGGUGGUGGUGGUGGUGGUGUUGGUGCUGGUGUGUGUGUGUGUGUGA